UGGGGGAAUUUUGGACAAUGGAGGCAACCCUGAUCCAGCAAUGCCGCGUGCGGGAUGAAGGUCUUCGGGUUGUAAAGCACUUUCGGAGGGGAGGAAAAAUGACGUUACCCUCAGAAGAAGCACCGGCUAACUCCGUGCCAGCAGCCGCGGUAAUACGGAGGGUGCAAGCGUUAAUCGGAAUAACUGGGCGUAAAGGGCAUGCAGGCGGUUCAUCAAGUAGGAUGUGAAAUCCCCGGGCUCAACCUGGGAACAGCAUACUAAACUGGUGGACUAGAGUAUUGCAGGGGGAGACGGAAUUCCAGGUGUAGCGGUGGAAUGCGUAGAUAUCUGGAAGAACACCAAAGGCGAAGGCAGUCUCCUGGGCAAAUACUGACGCUCAUAUGCGAAAGCGUGGGUAGCAAACAGGAUUAGAUACCCUGGUAGU
rnacentral:rRNA from 1 species